CCAGACUCUUCACGCUCCAUUGGAGAGGGAGUUUCUGGAGUACCGCAGUCGAAUGGUGGCUGCCGCCCUCUGAUGGCUGCUCAGAGUUGAAAAAGUGAAGUCAAGCCCUAAGGAAAUGUUCCAGACCUCCAAAUGGAUUUAGGUGGGCGAUUAAAGACUGGAGGAGCUGCUGUUUUUAAGGCCAAAAAGCACCCUCUGACAUCCCACACGGCCAGAAUCUGGGUCGACAAGUCUGAUUAGAUCAUGACCUGUCCUCUGGAAGGGUUCUGAGGCUGAACGCUUUGAUUAGAGUCACAUGAUUAGAGGUGCUUUGAAGGCCCAGCGGUGACUACACGUGCCUUUGAUCCCAGCAGGCUGGGGCAGGCAGAUCUGUGAGUUGGAGGCCAGCCUGGUCUCCUUGUGUGAGUUCCUUGACAGCCAGAGCUACAUGGAGGAAUCCGGCCUUUAAAAAAUAAAUAAAAAUAAAAUAAAAUAAAAAAACACAAGACUUUGAGGAGUUCUGCUGAGG
ensembl:lncRNA